UACGUAGGGUGCGAGCGUUAAUCGGAUUUACUGGGCGUAAAGCGUGCGCAGGCGGCCCGUUAAGACAGGUGUGAAAUCCCUGGGCUCAACCUAGGAAUGGCAUUUUGAACUGGCAGGCUCGAGUACGGUAGAGGGGGGUGGAAUUCCUGGUGUAGCAGUGAAAUGCGUAGAGAUCAGGAGGAACACCGAUGGCGAAGGCAGCCCCCUGGGCCUGUACUGACGCUCAUGCACGAAAGCGUGGGGAGCAAACAGG
rnacentral:rRNA from 1 species